CAAAACAUUGCUCUCUCUCUUUUUGUGCGAUAGUGAGGAAACUCCAACAAUCCAGCAGAAAAUGGAUCCAAUCGUUCUUCUACUUCGCUCUAUCUGCUACUGAUCUUGAUUCUACCAAACAGACUAAUGGUAUCUUAUCACAAAAUUAUUGCCAAGAAGCAUAAGAUCCUUCAGGAGUACCAUAUGGAGCCAGGCAUCUCAAUGACCACAAAUUGGAACUGCACUACUUCUGUUACUUCUUUUGUUAUCACUUCAUCAAAUUGGAACUGCACUAUUUCUGUUACUUCUUUUGAUCCAUAGGGUGAAUUCUACAUUCUGGUCAUGAACAUGCUCGGACCAAGUCUUUGGGAUAUUUGGAGUUCAUUAGGCCAAUCGAUGACACCAAAGUCGACAGCUUGUGCAUCGAAAGCUUCGCUGUGGUUUUCGUUUUUGGAUAUAAAGUAUCGGACCAGGUUCUGCAAAUAAUGGCCAGGAUCCGAACUUAGAAGUAAGUGGAAUUCCUCUGCAACCUCCUAAAAACCAGAGAAGCAGUAAGAAAAUGCAGACUCAAGAAAAAGGUUUCAUGAAUCAUCAAAAUAAUAUCAUUUUUUCUCUUUUUAAUCACUCUAAAUUCACGUGUUCAACUCCAUGUUUCACCAUCACUAAAAUGAUCGCGGGCCCAAAUACGUUUAGCAGCUAGAGUCUAGCAAAUUAAGGCUAGCUCAACUUGAACAGAUCUUCAACGUGCUCGAUCACAGGUUUUUAUUUAUAUUUUAUGUCAAUGUGUGUGUAGUGUUUGUGUUUGGAAUUGAAUUGUAUACGUUAACACAUAAAAUAGUUUGUAUACUUCUAAGUUAAGAAAAUUCAAAUGAGAAACACCGAUGCACAAGGCUCCCCACUGUAAAAUUGUUUUGUUGCUGUGAAAUUGAGUCUCAUAAGUAAUGUCAUAUAAGUUACAAUUUUCUUGCAUCAUGAAUGAUUAAUUCUAUUUUUUAUGCAAAUAUCAAACCAGACUUGAGAUUGGUCAUAUCAGGGUGCAAAAUGGUGAGGUAUGAAGCUUGUCUUAAAAGUAAAAAGCCAAAUUUAGGUCAAAUUUGUAAAAUAAGUGAUAGCUAAAAAGGAAGUGGGUGAUCAUUUAUCCCUAUAA